CGUGCGGGGGAGCUGUUCUUCCGCUCGCCCGCCUGCUCUGGGCGUAAGGCUGCCGACUAGGUCGCUUUGGUUUAAUUUUUUUUUUUUCUGUUUUUUUUCCGCUUUCCAGAAUGUGAUUUUAGAUCUUCUGUAAGCGCCGGCUACUCGAGGUUGAACAAAACAAUAGAUGAAGCGUGCAAAGAGGGCACACAUCAAAUGCUGUGGAUUCCGGUUGCUGCCUGGGCCCCUCAUCCUCAAAGGAGACUGAAGUCAGAGACACCUGCACAUGAAGAUUACCUUGCAGGAUGAGACAGGAAGAAAUUCUAAUUUGAUUAAAUGCCUUAAAAAUUGAAAA